GCUGAGUGCGACGUAAAACUCAACUCACUGGAUUAUUGCCGAAUGCGACGUUAAACAACAGACAAACAAACGACCUGUUUUAUUUUGCAUGAUGAUCUGAGCUGUUUAUUUUUAUACUUACAAUAUCUUUCAAGUAGUUGGUUUGUUGUUUUACACCUUACUCAGCAAUAUUCCAGGGAUCAACAUCCUGUGCAUCGAUCUUUACUGGUUUCUAUAUUUUAAGUAAGAAAGACAUAAAAAUGCUUCAUACCAUUAUCUUGCAUGGGUCACGCGCUUCGUGAGAUGGCAUCAGUGACUUAACCAAUACUAAACAGUGGUUCCGAGACACUGGGUGUUCUUUUUGUGUCACAUGGAGAAUGAUUACAAGAUGUGUGCCUGACAAUACGGUAGCUGGAGUCUUGGAUUUGAUGGGAAAGUGUAUAGUCCAUUAUAAACCAUCAUUUGCUAUUAAAAUGAAAUUGACUGGUACUAUGUGCUACAGGAUGGGGAACACCUAUGAGUAUCAUAUCGGAAUAAAGUUAAGCAUGAAGAAAUAUUGCGCUUUAAGUCACAUGCAUGCUAGGUAUUAAUACGAAUGGCACUUUAGAAUUAUGUAUAUAUGGAUUGAAACUAAAAUUUAACCAUCAAACGUUCGUACGUUAACAAUUGUAUUCUAAAAUGUACGAGGUUUACAACUUGAUACAAGUCACUUCAAAGGUAUUACAGAGGCAGUGCAAAUUCAAAGGCUGUAUAAUGCAAAAAAGGUGUGAUUAUAGCAAUAACGACAACAUUCACCUCACUACUUCAAUGUCAAAAUUUGCAAGAAGCAUUUCCUAGGCUGAUUAUCCAGGGUAAGACGAUUCUCCACACAACUGCUGUUCUUUAUGUAAUUUGAGAUGCAAUGUCACAUGUGAGUUUUCUCCCUUUAUACACCUCAGAAUAAGACACCAGAUGAUUCUCCAAUCCUCUUGGUCAGAGGAGCCCAUAGGGUUGUUAAGCAUUGCAGUACCUUCCAGAACUUUGUCUAAAUAUAGCAGUUCUUUUUCAUCAUCAACCAUUCAAGAAAUUCUGAAUAAGCAGCAUGCAUUAUAUAAGCGGAUAAAUGUGUGACAGUGCACAAUUUAUCAUUAUAUUCUUCAUGUUUGUAUAUUUUUUUGUAUGAAUGUAUUUUGUACAUAUUUGCCACAAAUUUCACUUUCAUUUUGAAGAGUUGUAAUAUUGAAACGUCACUUCAUAUCAUGGCUCCAUCUGAUUUAUCGAACUUCGCAAAGAUAAUUAACAUAAGCCAUAUACCAUUGAAAGUGUCAACUUAAAACUCAAUCCAUUGUUUAUUGCACCAGUAAAUGUCUUAAUGACCACCGUGCAGAUGUCCAGGCCACAACUGUCAAAACAAACUGCCAUACAU